rnacentral:rRNA from 1 species
UACGUAGGGGGCAAGCGUUGUUCGGAAUUACUGGGCGUAAAGGGCGCGUAGGCGGCACGGCAAGUCAGGAGUGAAAGCCCUGGGCUCAACCCGGGAACUGCUUUUGAAACUGCCGAGCUAGAGUGCGGAAGGGGCAACUGGAAUUCCCAGUGUAGCGGUGAAAUGCGUAGAUAUCAGGAGGAACACCGGUGGUGUAGACGGCUUUCUGGACCGUAACUGACGCUGAGACACGAAAGCGUGGGUAGCAAACAGG